rnacentral:lncRNA from 1 species
CUGAUUUCAUCAACAAGCGGUAAAAAUUUCCUCUUCUGUGAGCCUGGUUUGAUUAAUGAUCGCCGGCCGGGUCUCCAUUGACAUUCUAUGAGCUGCCUUAAAUUUCUUGGGCUUGAACAAUGUUUCUAUAUCUUGAAGCAUCCUUGCUUGUAUUUAUUUAGAGGUCUUGAUUUGCUUUCCUUCCAUCUUGCAUUUUGAUGGUACCCUGGCCCUGGGACCAUACAAGCCCAUGAAUUCGAAGGUCGUGGAAUAGUAUAAAUGUCCCUAAGAAUAUUGGAGAAAGGACUUUUACCACUUUUUGUAUUCUUACACCUGUGAUAGAAAGAGAGGAAUUAAGAGAGCACUUGGCGAUCGUGUGUAAGUAUGAGGUAGAGUAAGCGCUUUGCACUUAUACCAUUAGUGGAGAAC